UGCCCCGUAGCUCAGUUGGUAGAGCAACGGUCCGCAAUGCCGGUGGUCGCAGGUUCGAUUCCUGCCGGGGCUA